GACGAACGCUGGCGGCGUGCUUAACACAUGCAAGUCGAGCGAGGCCCCUCCUUCGGGAGGGUGUCCUAGCGGCGAACGGGUGAGUAACACGUGGGCAACCUGCCCUCAGCUCUGGGAUAACUCCGGGAAACCGGGGCUAAUACCGGAUACGACCUCCACGGGCAUCUGCGGAGGUGGAAAGUUUUUCGGCUGAGGAUGGGCCCGCGGCCUAUCAGCUAGUUGGUGGGGUAGUGGCCCACCAAGGCGACGCCGGGUAGCCGGCCUGAGAGGGCGACCGGCCACACUGGGACUGAGACACGGCCCAGACUCCUACGGGAGGCAGCAGUGGGGAAUAUUGCGCAAUGGGCGAAAGCCUGACGCAGCGACGCCGCGUGAGGGACGAAGGCCUUCGGGUUGUAAACCUCUUUCAGCAGGGACGAAGCGAAAGUGACGGUACCUGCAGAAGAAGCACCGGCCAACUACGUG
rnacentral:rRNA from 1 species